UACGGAAGGCAGCAGUGGGGAAUAUUGCACAAUGGGCGUAAGCCUGAUGCAGCCAUGCCGCGUGUAUGAAAAAGGCCUUCGGGUUGUAAAGUACUUUCAGUCGUGAGGAGGUGUUAAGGUUAAUAACCUUAGCAAUUGACGUUAGCGACAGAAGAAGCACCGGCUAACUCCGUGCCAGCAGCCGCGGUAAUACGGAGGGUGCGAGCGUUAAUCGGAAUUACUGGGCGUAAAGGGCACGCAGGCGGUUAAUUAAGUUGGAUGUGAAAUCCCCGGGCUUAACCUGGGAAUGGCAUUCAAGACUGGUUAGCUAGAGUCUUGUAGAGGGGGUAGAAUUCCAUGUGUAGCGGUGAAAUGCGUAGAGAUGUGGAGGAAUACCGGUGGCGAAGGCGGCCCUCUGGACAAAGGACUGACGCUCAUGUGCGAAAGCGUGGGGAGCAAACAGGGAUUAGAUACC
rnacentral:rRNA from 1 species